rnacentral:rRNA from 1 species
GACGAACGCUGGCGGCGUGCUUAACACAUGCAAGUCGAACGGAAAGGCCCCUUUGGGGGUACUCGCGUGGCGAACGGGUGAGUAACACGUGAGUAACCUGCCCUUGACUUCGGGAUAACUUCAGGAAACUGGGGCUAAUACCGGAUAGGAAUCCUUGCUGCCUGGUGGGGGUGGGAAAGCUUCGGUGGUUUGGGAUGGAGGGACGGCUUAUCGGCUUGUUGGUGGGGUGGUGGGUUACCAAGGCUUUGACGGGUAGGCGGGCUGGGGGGGUGGCCGGGCCCAAUGGGACUGGGGCACGGCCCGGACGCCUGCGGGGGGGAGCAGGGGGGGAUGUUGGAGAAAGGGCGGGAGCCUGAUGGAGCCACGGCGGGUGCGGGGUGACGGGCUUCGGGGUGUGAACCGGGUUCAGCAGGGGAGGAGGUUGGGGUGACGGUACCUGGAGAAGAAGCACCGGCUAACUACGUG